rnacentral:rRNA from 1 species
UACGGAGGGUGCGAGCGUUGUCCGGAAUCACUGGGCGUAAAGGGCGCGUAGGCGGCCUGAUAAGUAGGGGGUGAAAUCCUGCGGCUUAACCGCAGGGCUGCCUUCUAAACUGUCAGGCUAGAGCACGGUAGAGGCAGAUGGAAUUCCCGGUGUAGCGGUGGAAUGCGUAGAGAUCGGGAAGAACAUCAGUGGCGAAGGCGGUCUGCUGGGCCGUUGCUGACGCUGAGGCGCGAAAGCGUGGGGAGCAAACGGG